rnacentral:snRNA from 14 species
UUACUUACCUGGCAGGGGUGAUUCCCCUUCUUCUCAGCCUUGAAUGACUCGGUGCAGUUGAGGGUGGAGACCUGUCCAUUGCACUAUGGGUAAGCCCCCCUGUACUAAAGCCUCCCAAUGGGAAGAUCUCAGCUACACAAUUUGUAGUGUUGGGGGAUUGCUCUCGGGCUUUCCCUCU